CCGUAUCUUUGCAACCAUAACUCCGAUUGAGGUGAUUCCAACGCUCACGUUCUCUGUUCGUCGAACUCUUUCCAUUGGUAUCAUUUUCAUAAUGUUUUAACACAGUGAAAAUGGCCAUUUUUCCUUGCCCGUAAACAGCCCCCUCCGGGAGAGAACUCUUUCCGCGAGCGCUCCACAUUUUUUUCCGGAGUAUUCCUCGACCCCCAGGCAAGCCAACCUCUUAUCAUGAACCCCGAACUUGUAUGUUGACUUUGCUUGCACCUUGUGUGUGUGUAGUUGCAGUUGUUUCAUAUCGUUUUCGUCUGCAGUUAUUCCAUUAUGCCUGUCAUGCAUGCUUGUGUUUUCACGAUAUCGUUUGCCAUGCUAAUUAGAAUGUUGUUAUUGAUAAUGCCAUGUCACUACUCUACUUCAUUUGCAUGUCAUCGUUAUAAAAUGUUAUGAGGAUUGUAAUGCACUGUUGAUAUGCUAUUACUUGGUAUUGUCAUGUUCUUUAUGCUAUAGUUGUGCACUUGAGAAGUUCAAUAUUUUGUUCAUGCAUUUGUAUGCUGCAUGCUCAUUGUUGCAUUCAUGUUCAUGAUGAUGGAGAAGGAAUUAAAAUGACUUAAUAAUAACAAACCUCCUCCGUCAUCGAUGGGAUCGAGUCAUAGUGCCACCAAAUCGAAUUUCAGUGCAGCCACAUUUGCCUUUAUGGGAAGGCCUUAAUGCGAUCUAUUGUCGUGCCUCUCGCCGGUGCCUCCAACUAGGGAAGGUUAUGGGCAUGCUUACCCUGAUCAGGUAGGCGGACAUAAUCUUGUGUGCCCGUUGUUAAUACCGGUCCCCGUGAGGGACGUUUUGGCCACGACAGUGGUCAUUGUGUCUUUGGUAGACAUGGGGCCACUCGGGACUAGCCCAGUUGGGAGUGGGUCGGAGUGGCCGGGAGAGUGUCAUGGCACUAGGUCGGUUUCAUCGGAAUGCCGUUGGUCCACCCGAAUGGGAUGACGAGGCCAUGGGUUCCGUGGUGUGGGUACAGUGUGCUACCUCUGCAGAGUGUAUUCAAUCUAUCGAUAGCCGCAUCCUCGGUCAUGGGCAUAAGUUCGUAGUAGGUCCCACUAUCAGGUCUUGGUCGAAAUGGAGGAUAAACCUGAAAUAAUUAAGUUGGUAAAUAAAUAUGUGAUAACGAGAAUAUGGUGACUUGGACUAUGAGAUAGUCGUGAGAAGUCACGACCAUGUUUUGAUAUAAUCACGAGACGAGGUCUCGAUGAGUGUUGGAGACCAAGUGUUGGUCAUGGUUGUGAUCGCCGGAAAGAUCAUCGUUCGGUUGCGAGGCAACCCGUUGGUAAGAGAGUCCGAGGGACUCGGUGCACAAGUUUGGUUGCAUUGCAUGAGUAAUAUGUUGCAUUUAAAAACCAAGGCAGAACAGAAGAUGGUUGCAUAAAGUUAACAUGCUAUGUCCGCAUUGGAUAUAAUCGGUAGUUUAUUUUCAGCAUAGUUUCAUGAUGCCAUGCCAUGCUUUGAUUUAUAUGUUAAAUUAUGCCAUGAUUGAGAUGAUAUGCUAUGUUUUGCUAUUACCAUGUUAUAAGCAUGUUUUGAUAUGCCAUGUCAUUGCUAUGUUAGUAGAUGCUAUGAUAUUUUGUUCAUGCUCAGUUGGCCUAUAUCAUGCCAUGUUUAGUAAUUGAUAUGAGAUAGGUUGUUGCAUACGCUUGGUUCUUGCUUUAUCUUCUGCUUGUUUGGAUGCUAUGUAUUUGGUUGUCUUGCAAGUACAUUCAAUGUACUGACCUGGCGUGUCAUGCCAGUUUUGUAGGUCGUACCCGAAUUGUUCGUUUGAUCCGUCGUGCUAGGCCGUAACCUUGCCAGUCCUGUGAGUUGUGGAGCCCAGCCAGAGUUGUUAUGCUGCCAAACCAAGACUUUCGCCGCCAUUUAAAUAGACUUCCGCUGCCAUUUAAAUAGCCUUAGGGCUAUGCCAGAUAAUUGUAUUCAUCAAUGAUGUAAGCUUAUAUACAUGUAUUUGAUGAAUAUUCUUGUACCUGGAAUGCUGUAUAUGGACCUAUCGUGCGUCAGGUGUUAUCCUGGGCUGACGUGCGAAGGCCCCCUGUUCCAUGCGGAUCGGGGUGCCACAUUAGUGUUGAGUCAAGGGCUUGAUUAUCUUGCUAUGUUCUUAUGGGAAUAAAAGAAAAAGAAAGAAUAAAAAGAAAUAAAGAGAUCAUAUUGAUCUUAUGGAGAGUAAUGACUUCACAUAGGAAGAGUAUGAUGAUUAAAAGUUGUUGAGAGUUGACAAACAUAACCUUGGUCAUCGUUGCAAUUAAUAGGAAGUAAUAAAGAAAGAGAGGUUUCACAUAUAAAUAUACUAUCUUGGACAUAUUUUAUGAUUGUGAGCACUCAUUAAAAUAUGACAUGCUAAAGAGUUGAUGUUGGACAAGGAAGACAACGUAAUGGGUUAUGUUUUCUUACAUCUGAAAUAAAGUAUAUUGUCAUGGAUCAUCCAACAUGUUGAGCUUGCCUUUCCCCCUCAUGCUAGCAAAAUUCUUUGCACCAAAUAGAGAUACUACUUGUGCUUCCAAAUACCCUUAAACCCAGUUUUGCCAUGAGAGUCCACCAUAUCUACCUAUGGAUUGAGUAAGAUCCCUCAAGUAAGUUGUCAUCGGUGCAAGCAAUAAAAAUUGAUCUCUAAAUAUGUAUGACUUAUUAGUGUGGGAGAAAAUAAGCUUUAUACGAUCUUGU
rnacentral:lncRNA from 1 species